GCGCGGCGGCUAGAAAUUUAAAUAAGCUGAAUAUAAAUAUUUAAUUUAAUAUGAUGAACUUACCACACCGCCAACGGCAAAGGAAAACAUGGGGGCGUACCCACCUAACAGAAGGAUGUUUCCCAGGAUGCGAAUCCGCCGGCGUCGUUUUGAUCAAAUCUAACUUUAUUCCAUCUAGUUGGCGUGGGGUUUGCCGUACACGUAUACAGCUAGCAAUUCGGUUAUUCGAACCCCAUUCGUCACUUGGUACAGUUAAAAAAGGAAAAUGGUUUCGACCAACCCAUUUUUUGAAUUUGCGGCUACAUACCGUAGAGAGCAUCCAGACCUAAAACUACAACGCGUUAUUGCAUCAAGAGCUGGGGAUGCAUGGAACGCUUUACCGACAUCAGAGAAAAAUCGCUACCGCAAAAUGGCGAGCGAUGAACGAAAUCGGCGUCGGAGAGAUGCUGAUAAAAAACGCCAGGAAAGCCAGGAAGCCAGGUGCCAACGAUGCCGUUAUACCAAAUUAGUAUUUUAUGCACUGCUUUUGUUUUUAUUGGUUUGGAUAUCAUUAUCCUAUGUCUUUUAACAAAAAUUAAUCAGUUUUUUGUCAGAACAUUCCAAAUAAAGGUUCAAAUGUAGAAUGCCAUA